rnacentral:lncRNA from 1 species
CUGGGUGAUUUCCGGGUUCGGGCCGUUUGCGUGCCCUUUUUCCUUUUAGCCGCUUCCUCCGGUCGAGGUGGAGGUGCCGGGACUGGGGGAAGGGGAAGAGGCCGCCGGCUUUCCCCAGGGCCCGAGCCGCGCGGAGGGGAAGCGGCGGCGGCUGGAACGGGACCCUCGGGGCUGGCUUUGUUUCCUCGGACCCAGCGCUUCUGGAACGAGAGGCGCGGCCUUGGGAGGGGUGGAGUAGGCCCUAGUAUUCCGGGGUACCCCGGGGUGGGAGAAGCCGGGCUCGAGGCUGGAACAAAGACCCGGGCCGAGAAGCGGCUGCCCAGGCUUCGUGGCGGGCUGACCCUCGGCAGAGCCCGUCCCGGCAGGGUCUUCUGGAGGGGAGACAUCCGGUCCCGGAAGCCCCGGGCGCCCCGGGCUCCUGGAAGGGAUUUUGAGAGAGGGCGCGAUCUUCUACGCCGCGUACUGCCUGCGAUGCAGAGUCUCGCCCGGGGAGGCGAGAACAUCCCCUGCGCUGGGACAAGCGUUUUCCAAUUCCGCCUCGGACCCUCCGCCUUAGUUUUUGCUCUUGUGCCCUCGGCUGGUUGCAAACCUAACGUUUCAGAUGAACUAAAGACUUUUUUUUAUUAAAGAAGUGAGUCCGAUCUGGAAUGAGUUCCCUUGUUGGUUUAGUGCUAUUUUACCCCUAAUUUAUCUGGUCCUUAAUUUUUUCCCUAAUGAGAGGAUUGAAGAUCUCCAUACUCCCUACCAUCUCUAAGCCUAUUAUUCCAGACCCAAUUUUUUUCAUUAUUCUAUGAUGCCCCUCUUAAUUAUUUUUAUGCAAGUCUUGAAUACCUACUUCUUUUUUUUUUUUUUUAAAGGCAAAAGUCUUUUGCUAACCGGCAAAUUUGGGUUAAGAUCCCUUUCUAUAUGAAAGAAAUUUUUAAAAAUUAUACACUCAUUGACACAUUUUGCCUUAAAAUGGAUUAGAAGGAAAUGAUCUCACUAAAGAAUGUUAUUUUUCCCAAGUAAUUGUUGCUGAACAUUUAUUUGGGGGGGGGGAUUUAGAGUUCUCACAAUGGCUGGUCUCUCAAUACAUAAGUGAAAGGAAUGUAAAAGUCAACAAGCAGGAAGGGUGAGUUAAUGUAGCUGAAUCUACAGGAAAUAAAAGAUUAACACAGGUUUGGUUGGUAAGCAAAUUUUGUAAUUACUUGAAUAGCUAUUUGACUAUAUCUAUUAAGUGUUGUAAGACUG